GACGUUUCCUAGUACAAUAUACAACUCUGCUUCUUACUCGCGGCUAACUGGAUUGCUGUUUAUAGAACAAAUUCUGAAUCUAACUGGAUUGCCGUUUAUGGUUUUUUUACAGGGUCGAUGUAGAAUCAGAAAGAUGUGCAGUUUUUUACAGGGUCGAUGUAGAAUCAGAAAGAUGUGCAGCUUUCUAGGGUUGUUGUAACCGAAUUCAUGCAUGGAAACGAUUAGGUAAUCUUCUUAGUAAAAAUAUUUGCAGUUCGUUGAUGAAGAGAUUUUCUGUUUCGGCGAAACCCUAUGCUAUAUGCUAUCUAAUUCAUGAAGGUAAUUUUUUUUAUCAACUUCACUUCUAGAACUUUGUAUUUAUGUUCAUGUGCAUAAGAUAACAAACAAAUCCAGUGGCAUCUAUUUGCCCAUAAGCGUCAACAGGGAGAGUGAACUUGCCUAUCAGAACACACAAAAUUCCCUCAAGUCUGUUUAACUUUUUUUUUUCUUUUUUAUGAAGCAUAAUCAACUUAUUAUUGCGAAUCCCAUUUCCUCUCCAAUUAUUAGUUUUUUGAUUAUAUAUAUAUAUAUAUAUAUAUAUAAAUAUUUGUUUUGAAUAGUUGAUCUCAGAUUACUGAGCGUCUUCGACAUAGUAGUUUGAACAUGAGUAUUUUAUAGUUUCGACAUUGUUUGAGAAUCUAGGUUGUAUUCCCAGUACUUUGCAUAUCCAAUAGCAGGCUUUCAUUAAGAUAAACCUUGAUGUCACUCUAAAUUGAGUUAACCUACUAAGCUAACCUAUGGAACUGUGUAUUAUAUGGAGUACAGAACUGUGACCAGCAAUUAGAAAACCUAUUCUUGAAAUUGAAAUAUAUAAAGUCAGUAUGGGAGUCUUACAUUUGAUAUCUUGGAUACAGUUUGCAUUUUUUCCACUAAUACUUGAAUCACUGUUUUUCUCUCUUUUUUGUUGUUGAAAAGUACUUGAUUAUUAGGAAGUGAAGUACUUGAUUAUUAGGAAGUGAACUACAAGUCUAGGUCAGUAUAAUUUAAGGACAUUCAAUGAGUUGCUCAAAUAUAGCAUGAGAAUGGAUUAUGCUCCCAGUUAUUCUUUAUGGAAAAUAUGCUUCUAUGAUUUUACCGGUUGGAAGUUUUCAUAAAGGUAAUGGCACCUCUUUCAUAUUAUGGCACAUUAGAAGUUUAAGUACAGACAUAUAAUGGUUUUCCUCUUAAAUUUUGGCCAUAUCUCUUUUGCCGGUUGGAAGUUUGCAUAAGGUAAUGGCACCUCUUCAGUUGAUGCAAGUUGAAAGCUUACCCAAGUUUUGGUAUGCACCGGCCUUGAUCUUUUAAUUGUUUAGCUUUACUAUUUUCUUUCAGUAAUCUCCACAUUUUCAUACAACUGUAUCUACCAUUCAAUUUCCAUCUGCAAUCUUUAUAACAGAAAAUCACAACACUACGUACAUUACGGAUGGAGUUUGGUAAAUAGUAAAGUAGACUACUGUUUCAGCGCUCUAUACACAAUAUCGGAACUAAGUUAAAAUUAGAAUUCUAAAACUAACUUAAUUUUAUAAUUAAAAACGACUAACUUACAAGCUCAACCAAAUCACAACUAAUUUUAACCAACUCACAACUAAUUUUAAUAUGGAUAUUAUGUUGGAUCCCAAAUUUUCUAAUCAACGCUCAUCAACAAAACAGCAAGACCCCAGGCUCCAACUAAGCACAGGGUUUUAGAUCCGGGCUACCAUGACCAAACUAACUAAACACGGUAUUAUAACUUUGCUAGAAAAAUCCUAUGGGACUGAUCCCCAAGAGGCAAUAACAAGUUUCAAUAGCCGAAAGCAAUUUACAACAAGUCCAAGCGACCAUGCUCCCCAUCACUGUCUUAGGCCAUGGUCUUAAUUUGACGCGCCACUAAUUCUAAAAUUUACACAAUUGACAUAACUAUCAUCUGCUGGAGGCUAAUGUUUGUUUUUUUUCCCCAACCAAUAACUUUCCUAAUAUAAUUAGGUUACCUAAAAUAACUUCUUAAUUAAAAAUGACUAAUUUUAGUGCCAACCAUUAAUACUUGAAAGAAUUUACUGGUCCAUGGCACGGGGCUGUAGGCCCAAUUAAUUUGAAAAACGCUUUGAAUUAAAGGGGCAACGAUCGGGGCUGUAAGUCCCAGUUAAUUUGAUAAGAUCAACAAAACACCAUAUUUAUAGACUAACUCUCUAGAUUUCAACCCAACUAUGACUAAUUUUAAUUUAGAAACCACGUUUAACCAUAAAUUUUCCUAUCUACGGAUGGGUUGUAGGCCUGACUAAUUUGAUCCGACCAACACCUGGGGCCGCAAGCACGAUAAAAAGUCAUCAAAAAAGUUAUCGAUAUAAUAAAACUGAGCCAACAUAGUCAUUUGUAUGACAUAACUCACCAACAAGGAUACAGACUGUAAACUGAAAAAUCAAAAAGUGUUGCUAAACUCCGAUAAUGAGAUUCUUACGACCCAUCCAACCGGUACAUUGAACUUCGGGUUGUAGACCUGAUUAUUAUGGUCUAACAAACUAUAAUAUGACACGACUAACUAAGUACCGGUAUCGUACCUAAUGGUUGGGGCCAUAGCCAUGACCCGCCUAACUAUACACGGCCUCUAUCACUAAAAGGUGAUUGAAAUUUUGUGAGAGGAUAUUUACCUACCAACCAGACAACAAAUAAAAUUCAAAAAGAGUUGAGUCCCGGUCGUAAGCCGGGGUGGUACCUAGUAUAUAUAUAUAGAGUACAAAUGUAGAGAAGAGUUGGACGACUAUGAUAAGGGAUAAAUAUCCUUCUACCUGAGACACUUCAAGGUGCAACCGUGCAAGUGUCUUUCCCUUACUAACUUUGUGGGUCCCACAAGUACAUGUGUUACCCGAUGGAUUAGCCACCUAUCCAACCUUUACAUAAUAUUCAUGUUUAUCUUCUUUUUAAUUUUCAGUAGGAGGUGUUAGUUUGCAGGAAGCAGGAGCUGUGGGAUUUAUAGAGAAACAGAGAGGGAGAUUUAUAAUUUGGAGGGAGGCUUCUCUAGGUCGAUAAAAAGAGAAAAGAAAACGUAAUAAGAGUAGUGUGUUUGUAAUGAAAUAUGAUAAGGAGUUGGAAUAAGAAAAGAUAAAUAUCAAGAGAGAGCUUAGUUGAUUAUGAUUUUAGGAUUAAAAAGUACAAAUUAGAGAAGCUCUGAGAAGAAGAGUUUCUAUAAUAUCAGUAGAAUAUAUGUUGAGAGUGAGUUAUGGUGUUCUUGAAAUUUUGAAGGAAAAGGUUGAUGUUGAUUGGUGAUUUGAAUUAAGGAUGCAAACUAGAUAAGCUAAU